UCCCUGGUAUGCUGACUGGCUGCUGGUUCCCUGGUAUGCUGACUGGCUGCUGGUUCCCUGGUAUGCUGACUGGCUGCUGGUUCCCUGGUAUGCUGACUGGCUGCUGGCUGACUGGGUGGUGUCCGCUCUCCCUGUCUCUCCUCACUAGCCAUGUCCUGUCUUUCUUCACCCUCACUUUCCCUUCUCUCAGUCUCCUCAUCCCUUCUUCCCUCAAUCUUUGAGACUAAUGUCCCGGGGUGCAUCGUGGUGCAGGGGCCCUCCUCUUUUUGACCACAGGGCGAUGCACAAAGAUGCACAAGAACCAGAGGGGGAUUCAAUAGAGCCUGAAUAC